UACGGAGGGAGCUAGCGUUGUUCGGAAUUACUGGGCGUAAAGCGCGCGUAGGCGGCUUUGUAAGUUAGAGGUGAAAGCCCGGGGCUCAACCCCGGAACUGCCUUUAAAACUGCAUCGCUUGAAUCCGGGAGAGGUGAGUGGAAUUCCGAGUGUAGAGGUGAAAUUCGUAGAUAUUCGGAAGAACACCAGUGGCGAAGGCGGCUCACUGGACCGGUAUUGACGCUGAGGUGCGAAAGCGUGGGGAGCAA
rnacentral:rRNA from 1 species